rnacentral:lncRNA from 1 species
GGGCCUCGCGAUGGUCAACGGCACCGCCGUCGGCUCCGGCCUCGCCUCCCUCGUCCUCUACGAGGUCAACGUGCUCGCCGUCCUCGCCGAGGCGCUGUCGGCGGUCUUUUGCGAGGUGAUGCAGGGGAAGCCGGAGUUCACCGACCACCUCACCCACAAGCUGAAGCACCACCCGGGCCAGAUCGAGGCCGCCGCUAUUAUGGAGCACAUCCUCGACGGCAGCUCCUACAUGAAGAUGGCCAAGAAGCUCCACGAGCAAGACCCACUGCAGAAGCCGAAGCAGGACCGCUACGCCCUCCGCACCUCCCCGCAGUGGCUCGG